UGUUAUAAACCAGGCCUGGAUUAAGUGCUUUCAAUGGAUUUAUGUGGCCGGAUCCGUAAGAAAAUUCAGCAUCUGGGUUUUCUUUAGCGCUCAUGGGAGUUGCUGAAAAAAGAUCAAAAAGUUACUAGAGAGACUGACUGGCAAGCUAGCACAUGCUCUAAUACCAUUUAUAACAUCUUAAGCUCAAAUUUCCUCCCUACAAUAAUAACAUGUUGACCCGAAGAAUUGUUUCCUCUAAACUCAAAUUACUGGUCAUAAGCAACUUGAGUCCUUUUUGGAACCCAAAGAAUUAAUUCAUUUGACAUGUAUAAUCCAUCCACAGGUAAAGUCUAAUUUGAUCAAACCUGCAGUGAUCCUUCUUAAGUUUUAGAAGAACAUGUGUGAAUUACCUGUUGUCAUUAAAGCAGAUUUAAUGACAGAAGGAGACCAUGAAGGGUGAAAUGUUUUAACAUAAAGAGCAGCUCCUGUUGCAUGAGGGCAUGCCAUGGAAGUUCCUGAGAUGAUUUUGAAUGGUGCAUGGCGUUUUUCAUCUGGGAAAUCUGUUGAAGGUGCUUUCAGAGAAUAUGCAG
rnacentral:lncRNA from 1 species